rnacentral:rRNA from 1 species
UACGUAGGGAGCAAGCGUUGUCCGGAAUCAUUGGGCGUAAAGCGCGCGUAGGUGGCCCUGUAAGUCCGUUGUGAAAGUCAAAGGCUCAACCUUUUGAAAGCCGAUGGAUACUGCAGGGCUGGAGUCCGGAAGAGGCGAGUGGAAUUCCUGGUGUAGCGGUGGAAUGCGCAGAUAUCAGGAGGAACACCAUAGCGAAGGCAGCUCUGGGACGGUACUGAC